rnacentral:rRNA from 1 species
UACGUAGGGUCCGAGCGUUGUCCGGAAUUAUUGGGCGUAAAGGGCUCGUAGGCGGUCUGUCGCGUCGGGAGUGAAAACUUACAGCUUAACUGUGAGCGUGCUUCCGAUACGGGCAGACUUGAGGUAUUCAGGGGAGAACGGAAUUUCUGGUGUAGCGGUGAAAUGCGCAGAUAUCAGGAGGAACACCGGUGGCGAAGGCGGUUCUCUGGGAAUAUCCUGACGCUGAGGAGCGAAAGUGUGGGGAGCGAACAGG